rnacentral:rRNA from 1 species
CAAUAGCGUAUAUUAAAGUUGUUGCAGUUAAAAAGCUCGUAGUUGGAUUUCUGGUAGGAGCGACCGUGCCGAACUUGAUUGUUCGAGUAUUGUGUUGUCUUCAGCCAUCCUCGUGGAGAACUUUUCUAACAUUAACUUGUUGGGAUUGGGACCCGCGUCGUUUACUGUGAAAAAAUUAGAGUGUUUAAAGCAGGCAUUAGCUUGAAUACAUUAGCAUGGAAUAAUAAGGUAGGACUUUGGUACUAUUUUGUUGGUUUGCAUACCAAAUUAAUGAUCAACAGGAACAGUUUGAGGAUAUUCGUAUGAACAUGUCAGAGGUGAAAUUCUUGGAUUUUGAUCAGACGAACUACUGCGAAAGCAUUUAUCAAGGAUGUUUUCAUUAA